GGGAAUGUAUGUGGUCCGGUGGCCACUGCAGCCUUCAAAGCUGUUAUGCCGGUGGAGAGCCGGCGGAUAGGUUCGACUCCUAUACAUUCCCG
rnacentral:tRNA from 2 species